UUAACUUAUUUGUAUUUUCACUCAGACUGCAAUUUCAGACAGAGUUCAAGGGUGUCUUCGGCGGGCGCGGGCCCGGGGGCAGAUGCCCCCCGGCGGCCAGAAAGGCGGGCCCGCCGAAGCAACAAGGUACGAUAAACACGGGUGGGAGGUUGGACCCAGAGGGCCCUCACUCGGUAAUGAUCCUUCCGCAGGUUCACCUACGGAAA
rnacentral:misc_RNA from 1 species